UGGGGAAUCUUCCGCAAUGGGGCGCAAGCCUGACGGAGCAACGCCGCGUGAGUGAAGAAGGGUUUCGACUCGUAAAGCUCUGUUGUCGGGGACGAAUGUGAGGACGGCGAAUAGCCGUUUUCAAUGACGGUACCUGACGAGGAAGCCACGGCUAACUACGUGCCAGCAGCCGCGGUAAUACGUAGGUGGCGAGCGUUGUCCGGAAUUAUUGGGCGUAAAGGGAGCGCAGGCGGGAGGUCAAGUCUAUCUUAAAAGUGCGGGGCUCAACCCCGUGAGGGGAUGGAAGAGGGAAUCGGAAUAUAGGGUGUAGCGGUGAAAUGCGUUGAUAUCCUAUAGAACACCGGAUGCGAAGGCGGAUUCCUGGUACGUAUCUGACGCUGAGGCGCGAAAGCGUGGGGAGCAAACAGGAUUAGAUACCCUGGUAGU
rnacentral:rRNA from 1 species